rnacentral:rRNA from 1 species
GGGCCCGCACAAGCGGUGGAGUAUGUGGUUUAAUUCGAUGCAACGCGAAGAACCUUACCAGGGUUUGACAUCCUGCGAAUCUCUUGGAAACGAGAGAGUGCCUUCGGGAACGCAGUGACAGGUGGUGCAUGGCUGUCGUCAGCUCGUGUCGUGAGAUGUUGGGUUAAGUCCCGCAACGAGCGCAACCCACGUCUUUAGUUGCCAGCAUUCAGUUGGGCACUCUAGAGAGACCGCCGGUGAUAAACCGGAGAAGGUGUGGAUGACGUCAAGUCAUCAUGCCCCUUACAUCUGGGCUACACACGUACUACAAUGCUACGGACAAAGGGCAGCAAGUUCGCGAGAUUACGCAAAUCUCAUAAACCGUGGCUC